rnacentral:rRNA from 1 species
AAAGCCUCUAAGCAUCAGGUAACAUCAAAUCGUACCCCAAACCGACACAGGUGGUCAGGUAGAGAAUACCAAGGCGCUUGAGAGAACUCGGGUGAAGGAACUAGGCAAAAUGGUGCCGUAACUUCGGGAGAAGGCACGCUGAUAUGUAGGUGAAGCGACUUGCUCGUGGAGCUGAAAUCAGUCGAAGAUACCAGCUGGCUGCAACUGUUUAUUAAAAACACAGCACUGUGCAAACACGAAAGUGGACGUAUACGGUGUGACGCCUGCCCGGUGCCGGAAGGUUAAUUGAUGGGGUUAGCGGUAACGCGAAGCUCUUGAUCGAAGCCCCGGUAAACGGCGGCCGUAACUAUAACGGUCCUAAGGUAGCGAAAUUCCUUGUCGGGUAAGUUCCGACCUGCACGAAUGGCGUAAUGAUGGCCAGGCUGUCUCCACCCGAGACUCAGUGAAAUUGAACUCGCUGUGAAGAUGCAGUGUACCCGCGGCAAGACGGAAAGACCCCGUGAACCUUUACUAUAGCUUGACACUGAACAUUGAGCCUUGAUGUGUAGGAUAGGUGGGAGGCUUUGAAGUGUGGACGCCAGUCUGCAUGGAGCCGACCUUGAAAUACCACCCUUUAAUGUUUGAUGUUCUAACGUUGGCCCCUGAUCGGGGUUGCGGACAGUGUCUGGUGGGUAGUUUGACUGGGGCGGUCUCCUCCUAAAGAGUAACGGAGGAGCACGAAGGUUGGCUAAUCCUGGUCGGACAUCAGGAGGUUAGUGCAAUGGCAUAAGCCAGCUUGACUGCGAGCGUGACGGCGCGAGCAGGUGCGAAAGCAGGUCAUAGUGAUCCGGUGGUUCUGAAUGGAAGGGCCAUCGCUCAACGGAUAAAAGGUACUCCGGGGAUAACAGGCUGAUACCGCCCAAGAGUUCAUAUCGACGGCGGUGUUUGGCACCUCGAUGUCGGCUCAUCACAUCCUGGGGCUGAAGUAGGUCCCAAGGGUAUGGCUGUUCGCCAUUUAAAGUGGUACGCGAGCUGGGUUUAGAACGUCGUGAGACAGUUCGGUCCCUAUCUGCCGUGGGCGCUGGAGAACUGAGGGGGGCUGCUCCUAGUACGAGAGGACCGGAGUGGACGCAUCACUGGUGUUCGGGUUGUCAUGCCAAUGGCACUGCCCGGUAGCUAAAUGCGGAAGAGAUAAGUGCUGAAAGCAUCUAAGCACGAAACUUGCCCCGAGAUGAGUUCUCCCUGAGACUUAGAGUCUCCUGAAGGAACGUUGAAGACGACGACGUUGAUAGGCCGGGUGUGUAAGCGCAGCGAUGCGUUGAGCUAACCGGUACUAAUGAACCGUGAGGCUUAACCUUACAACGCCGAAG